UACGGGGGGGGCAAGCGUUGUUCGGAAUUACUGGGCGUAAAGGGCUCGUAGGCGGCCAACUAAGUCAGACGUGAAAUCCCUCGGCUUAACCGGGGAACUGCGUCUGAUACUGGUUGGCUUGGAUUUGGGAGAGGAAUGCGGAAUUCCAGGUGUAGCGGUGAAAUGCGUAGAUAUCUGGAGGAACACCGGUGGCGAAGGCGGCAUUCUGGACCAAUAUUGACGCUGAGGAGCGAAAGCCAGGGGAGCAAACGGG
rnacentral:rRNA from 1 species